rnacentral:rRNA from 1 species
UACGUAGGAGGCAAGCGUUGUCCGGAAUCACUGGGCGUAAAGAGCGUGUAGGCGGUCUGCCAAGUCUGUUGUGAAAGCGCCUGGCUUAACUGGGCGAGGUCGACGGAAACUGGCAAACUGGAGGUCGGUAGAGGAGGGUGGAAUUCCGGGUGUAGCGGUGGAAUGCGUAGAGAUCCGGAAGAACACCAGUGGCGAAGGCGGCCCGCUGGGCAGUGGCUGACGCUGAGGCGCGACAGCGUGGGGAGCAAACAGG